rnacentral:rRNA from 1 species
UACGGGGGGGGCAAGCGUUGUUCGGAAUUACUGGGCGUAAAGGGCGCGUAGGCGGUUUGCUAAGUUGGAUGUGAAAACUCUGGGCUUAACCCAGAGCCUGCAUCCAAAACUGGCAAACUUGAGUACUGGAGGGGAAAGCGGAAUUCCUGGUGUAGCGGUGAAAUGCGUAGAUAUCAGGAGGAACACCGGUGGCGAAGGCGGCUUUCUGGACAGUAACUGACGCUGAGGCGCGAAAGCGUGGGGAUCAAACAGG